UACGUAGGGUGCGAGCGUUCAUCGGAAUUACUGGGCGUAAAGCGUGCGUAGACGGUUAUGUAAGUUAGGUGUGAAAGCCCCGGGCUCAACCUGGGAAUUGCAUUUAAGACUGCAUAGCUAGGGUGCGGAAGAGGGAAGCGGAAUUUCCGGUGUAGCGGUGAAAUGCGUAGAUAUCGGAAGGAACAUCAGUGGCGAAAGCGGCUUCCUGGUCCAGCACCGACGUUCAGGCACGAAAGCGUGGGGAGCAAACAGG
rnacentral:rRNA from 1 species